UAGGGAAUCUUCCGCAAUGGGCGAAAGCCUGACGGAGCAAUGCCGCGUGAGUGAUGAAGGUUUUCGGAUCGUAAAGCUCUGUUGCCAGGGAAGAACGCUUGGGAGAGUAACUGCUCUCAAGGUGACGGUACCUGAGAAGAAAGCCCCGGCUAACUACGUUG
rnacentral:rRNA from 1 species